GAUGAACGCUGGCGGCGUGCCUAAUACAUGCAAGUCGAGCGAACAGACGAGGAGCUUGCUCCUCUGACGUUAGCGGCGGACGGGUGAGUAACACGUGGAUAACCUACCUAUAAGACUGGGAUAACUUCGGGAAACCGGAGCUAAUACCGGAUAAUAUAUUGAACCGCAUGGUUCAAUAGUGAAAGACGGUUUUGCUGUCACUUAUAGAUGGAUCCGCGCCGGAUUAGAUAGUUGGUAAGGUAAAGGCUUACCAAGGCAACGAUGCGUAGCCGACCUGAGAGGGGGAUCGCCCACACUGGAACUGAGACACGGUCCAGACUCCUACGGGAGGCAGCAGUAGGGAAUCUUCCGCAAUGGGCGAAAGCCUGACGGAGCAACGCCGCGUGAGUGAUGAAGGUCUUCGGAUCGUAAAACUCUGUUAUUAGGGAAGAACAAAUGUGUAAGUAACUAUGCACGUCUUGACGGUACCUAAUCAGAAAGCCACGGCUAACUACGUG
rnacentral:rRNA from 1 species